UGUUCUGUGGCUUAGUUGGUUGAAGCGCCGGUCUAGCGAAUACGGAGUCGUGGGUUCGAGUCCCACCAGAACGC
rnacentral:tRNA from 1 species